UUCUGUGGGGGCGGAGCGGCCGGCCGCAACUUGCGGUUCGAGCUAGCGCUUCCCCCACAUCCUGCCGCGAACCGUGCUACCAUUAGUUUGGUGGCGCCGGGGAUCGGCUCGUUUACUUUGAGAAAAAUAGAGUGUUCAAAGCAGGCCACACGCCUUGAAUAAGUUAGCAUGGAAUAAUAAUAAAGGACUUCGGUUCUAUUUUGUUGGUGUUCGGGACUGAAGUAAUGAUUGAUAGGGACAGUUGGGGCGGUCAGUAUUCCAAAGCGAGAGGUGAAAUUCUUAGACCUUCGGAAGACUAACAGCUGCGAAAGCGUUCCGCAAGGAUGUUCCCUUUGAUCAAGAACGAAAGUUGGGGGAUCGAAGACGAUCAGAUACCGUCGUAGUCUCAACUAUAAACUAUACCAGCUAGGGAUCGGCCAACGUUAAAUUAUUCGACUUGGUCGGCACCUUAUGAGAAAUCAAAGCAUCUGGGUUCCGGGGGGAGUAUGGUCGCAAGGCUGAAACUUAAAGGAAUUGACGGAAGGGCACCACCAGCCGUGGAGCCUGUGGCUUAAUUUGACUCAACACGGGAAAACUUACCAGGUCCAGACAUAGUAAGGAUUGACAGAUUGAUAGCUCUUUCUUGAUUCUGUGGGUGGUGGUGCAUGGCCGUUCUUAGUUGGUGGAGUGAUUUGUCUGGUUAAUUCCGUUAACGAACGAGACCCCAGCCUGCUAAAUAGCGCGGUUGAGCUUUGCUCGGCGCGAGCUUCUUAGAGGGACUAUGAUGCGCGAUAGCACAUGGAAGUUUGGGGCAAUAACAGGUCUGUGAUGCCCUUAGAUGUUCUGGGCCGCACACGGGCUACACUGGCGCCUGCAACGAGCAUAUCAGCUGGCCCGAGAGGGUCUUGGCUAAUCUUUUGAACCGGCGCCGUGCUUGGGAUUGACCAUUGCAAUUGUUGGUCAUGCAACGAGGAAUGCCUUGUAAACGCGAGUCAUCAACUCGCAUUGAAUACGUCCCUGCCCUUUGUACACACCGCCCGUCGCUCCUACCGAUGAUGUUCCGAUGAAAUUUUCGAAA
rnacentral:rRNA from 1 species